rnacentral:rRNA from 1 species
CACUUCGGUGGUACUCGAGCGGCGAACGGGUGAGUAACACGUGAGUAAUCUGCCCCCCACUUUGGGAUAGCCACCGGAAACGGUGAUUAAUACCGGAUAUGACCCUUGACCGCAUGGUUGUGGGUGGAAAGUUUUUCGGUGGGGGAUGUGCUCGCGGCCUAUCAGCUUGAUGGUGGGGUAAUGGCCUACCAUGGCUUCGACGGGUAGCCGGCCUGAGAGGGUGACCGGCCACACUGGGACUGAGACACGGCCCAGACUCCUACGGGAGGCAGCAGUGGGGAAUAUUGGACAAUGGGCGGAAGCCUGAUCCAGCAACGCCGCGUGAGGGAUGACGGCCUUCGGGUUGUAAACCUCUUUCAGUACCGACGAAGCGAAAGUGACGGUAGGUACAGAAGAAGCACCGGCCAACUACGUGCCAGCAGCCGCGGUAAUACGUAGGGUGCGAGCGUUGUCCGGAAUUAUUGGGCGUAAAGGGCUCGUAGGCGGUUUGUCGCGUCGGGAGUGAAAACACUGGGCUUAACUCAGUGCUUGCUUCCGAUACGGGCAGACUAGAGGUAUGCAGGGGAGAACGGAAUUCCUGGUGUAGCGGUGAAAUGCGCAGAUAUCAGGAGGAACACCGGUGGCGAAGGCGGUUCUCU